GUCUAUGGCAUACCACCUUGACUGUAGCCAAUCUCUUCUGAUCUCAGAAACUAAGCCAGGUCAAGCUGAUUAGUACUUGGAUAGGAGAAUCCUAGGACUACUGAGUGCUGGAGGCU
rnacentral:rRNA from 1 species